rnacentral:tRNA from 1 species
ACCGGACUGGCUCAGUUGGAAGAGCAUGUGACUCUUGAUCUCAGGAUUGUAGGUUUGAGCCCCAUGUGGGGUG